ACGGGUGAGUAAUGUCUGGGGAUCUGCCCGAUAGAGGGGGAUAACCACUGGAAACGGUGGCUAAUACCGCAUAACGUCGCAAGACCAAAGAGGGGGACCUUCGGGCCUCUCACUAUCGGAUGAACCCAGAUGGGAUUAGCUAGUAGGCGGGGUAACGGCCCACCUAGGCGACGAUCCCUAGCUGGUCUGAGAGGAUGACCAGCCACACUGGAACUGAGACACGGUCCAGACUCCUACGGGAGGCAGCAGUGGGGAAUAUUGCACAAUGGGCGCAAGCCUGAUGCAGCCAUGCCGCGUGUAUGAAGAAGGCCUUCGGGUUGUAAAGUACUUUCAGCGGGGAGGAAGGCGAUAAGGUUAAUAACCUUGUCGAUUGACGUUACCCGCAGAAGAAGCACCGGCUAACUCCGUGCCAGCAGCCGCGGUAAUACGGAGGGUGCAAGCGUUAAUCGGAAUUACUGGGCGUAAAGCGCACGCAGGCGGUCUGUUAAGUCAGAUGUGAAAUCCCCGGGCUUAACCUGGGAACUGCAUUUGAAACUGGCAGGCUUGAGUCUCGUAGAGGGGGGUAGAAUUCCAGGUGU
rnacentral:rRNA from 1 species